UGCUCAGGUGGCGAAAUUGGCAGACGCACAGGACUUAAAAUCCUGAGGGACCUAAUAAUCCCGUGCCGGUUCAAGUCCGGCCCUGAGCAU
rnacentral:tRNA from 1 species